CCAAUGUCCCUCAGGCCGCGGUGACAACCUGUUUCCUGCCAUGGCAGCUUUGGAGCCUUACGUAAGAUACUGUGUUUUUACAAAUUGAAGACUUGUGGCAACCCUGCAUCAAGCAAGUCUAUCGGCGCCAUUUUUCCAACAGCGUUUGCUCUCUUUGUGUCUCUGUGUCACGUUUUGAUCAGAUGCCUACAGUCCUCACGUGAAGUGUGAAUCACAAUCAGCUGGAGAAUUUGUUAAAACGCAGAUUCCUGGACCUGCCUCCCAGGAUUCUGACUCAGUCGUCAUCUGCAUUUUUAACAAGCUCUUCAAAUCCCUGGAUAAAGGUGUUCCUGGCCCUCCCUUUGAGAAACCUUGAAGCUUGGGGAAUAUACAUGGUCCAGAUGUGGAGUCCACCCUCAGAACGCAGUCGAGGGAGGGAGAUGAGACACCACAAUAAGUCACAAGGUAGAAGGUACCCAGUGCAGCUGGAGAGCAUGAGAUAAAGUGCAAGGAAGCUCUCACCACCAUCUCCGACACCCAGGGGUGCUGAAGCUUGACCCUCUGUUCUGAGAAGUUUCCACACUUUUGCUGGAUUGUAUUCCAACCAACCUUGAAUUACAUAUUCAUAGUAUUACUUCUACCUCUAGCAGAAGAAUCAUUCCAGUGAUGUAGGAGCUUAUCUUUCAUUUUGGUGAAGGGUAGCAGGGAGGAAAACACUUACUGGUCUUGGAUAGAAACCAGAUUCGGGUGGCAAGACCUGGGUGCUCUUCCGAAGCUGGAUGGAGGUGACAUGCGGCCUGAAACAAAUACAGCCUCCAAUACCCCACCCUCUACUGCUUACCAACAGAGUCAAGAAAGGGGUCCUGAAGGCUCCUUUGAAGGAAGUUAGAGAUCUUGUGAGAAGCUGAGGCAAGACCAAGAGCUGGGACCUCCUCUCACAAUAUCUGAUUCAUCACCACCCACCGCCCCUCCUUGAGGGCCCAUGGCCUAAUAAAAGGGAGUUAGACCCAAG